CUCAUUUCUUCACACCAAGAGCUCUCCUCUCCUCUGCAUUUGUGAAAUUUCCAAGUGUAGACCUAGCUUCAAGGAGCAACCCGAGACUUCUAGGAAAGCGUACCUUUGAGACAACAAGCAUGCGUGUGAUCAGUCGAGAUGCGGCCAUGCACCUGCUUGAUGUGGACGACGGCAAGGCUCGAGAUAUCGACCGCGCGACCGAUGGUUCAGCUAUGGGACUAGCGAGAGUAGAGGAUGCGAGACGAUAUGAUGCGAGCGUUGGAGGCCUUGGAGGGCACGCGGCCUAUGAGUCGGGUAUUGAGUGGGAUAAUUGAGUCUGUACUGGGGGUGAGGUCGAGUGUUGUUUUAGGGCUCGAUACCUUCUUAAAGCCAUCGUGUAUGUGGAUGAGCUUAAGAAAGGUUGAAAGCACUAGUUUCCUUCAUUGAGUCCUGAUGUAAUAAAGAAAAAGCCUUGGUCUAUUUAAUAAAAUAAAGUUUA